GACGUAGGGCGCGAGCGUUGUCCGGAUUUAUUGGGCGUAAAGAGCUCGUAGGCGGCUUGUCGCGUCGUCCGUGAAAACCUGCAGCUCAACUGCAGGCUUGCGGUCGAUACGGGCAGGCUAGAGUGUGGUAGGGGAGAUCGGAAUUCCUGGUGUAGCGGUGAAAUGCGUAGAUAUCUGGAGGAACACCGGUGGCGAAGGCGGCAUCCUGGACCGAUACUGACGCUGAGGAGCGAAAGCCAGGGGAGCAAACGGG
rnacentral:rRNA from 1 species